GGGAAUUUAGCUCAGUGGUAGAGCGCUUGCCUAGCAAGUGCAAGGCCCUGGUUUCUGGCUCUGUAACCAAAUCCCA
rfam:Rattus norvegicus chromosome 1, whole genome shotgun sequence.